UCCCUGGUGGUCUAGUGCUUAGAAAUCAGCACUUUCACUGCUGUGGGCCCAGGUUCAAUCCCUGGUUGGGGAA
rnacentral:tRNA from 1 species